UUUAUUUUAACUUCUGUCCCAUCAAAUAUUCUUCUAGGAUUUAUUGUACUAGUUGAUACACUUAAUAUUCUCAUUGGAGGAAAUUUGAUCUUUCGUAAUUUAGUUUCAAAAGUUGUACACCUGUUUGUGGAAAUAGGAGUCCGCUACAAAUUGUUUUUCCAUGUGUUCAAUACCCAUGGUUCCAACUCCUGAUUUCAGUUUUGGCUUAAAUUCCAUCUGUAUCAUCCCGCUACAAAUUGUUUUUCCAUGUGUUCAAUACCCAUGGUUCCAACUCCUGAUUUCAGUUUUGGCUUAAAUUCCAUCUGUAUCAUCUGAACUUAUACAAAUUCUGUAUGGAAGGUUGAAAAAAUUUAACUAUUUUCUUUUAUUUUUUGCCCCCCCCCAAAAAGUAGCUCAUUUUGGUAGCUUCCCUCAUGGUUUAGAACUUUGUCAAGUAAUGGCAGUUACUAUCGAUCCAGUUCUUCAGUUUGUAGGUUACUAUUGAUUGGAGAACUGUUUAGCUGAAAGAUGGUACCUUUUAGUGGAGCAUGUUAACAGGCUUCCCUGUUGAUGUUAAUACUUUGCGGAUGCAUUAAAGUGC
rnacentral:lncRNA from 1 species